CAGCCGCCGCCGCCGCCGCCGCCGCGUACCUGGGCGCCCCGCCGCCGCCGCCGCCGCCGCCCCCCGGGGGCGCGGCCGGGCCCUUCCUGCAGCCGCCCCCCGCCGCCGGCACCUUCGGCUGCGCGCAGCGGGCCUUCGCGCAGCCCGCGCCCGCCGCGCCCGCCUCGCCCGCGGGGCCCGCCGCGCCCGGCGAGCUGGGCUGGCUGUCCAUGGCCAGCCGCGAGGACCUGAUGAAGAUGGUGCGGCCGCCCUACUCGUACUCGGCGCUCAUCGCCAUGGCCAUCCAGAGCGCGCCCGAGCGCAAGCUCACGCUCAGCCACAUCUACCAGUUCGUGGCCGACAGCUUCCCCUUCUACCAGCGCAGCAAGGCCGGCUGGCAGAACUCCAUCCGCCACAACCUGUCGCUCAACGACUGCUUCAAGAAGGUGCCCCGCGACGAGGACGACCCAGGUGAGGGCGCCGGACAGGUGCUUCCCCGGCCGGGAGGGCGGGGAGGCGGCGCCCGGGCAGGGGCCGACUUGGAUGGAGCUCCAUGCGGAGUCUUCUCUUCCUAACUGGGACUGGGAGCCAGAGCGGACGGAACAACCGCCCGAACCCCGAACCUCGUCUGGCUGGGGUGGGGGUAAACCGGAGGACAAAGAGAACUAUCAGAGGACCCACGAGCGCGGGGGCCCGGUGGUGGGGGGCUCGCCCCUUGCACCCACUCACACCCACCACACACACGCGCAGAGGCUGGCCGGUUAGAGAAAAACGAAAAAAGCCAGUAUCCUCAAACGGGAAGCCACCCCUGGGUGCCCGUGGAAGGGAGGGACCAAGGUACAGGGAGGCAGAUUAGGAAUAGGAACACGCGUGGGCUCUCGGAUAAGGGACGACUAUAAAGGGAUUCAGGAGAGCUGAGAGCCCCGGCACAUUUCACGGAAUAGGUAGUGAGAGACCGAGCAACAGCCGGCCGUCCCAGCUGCCCCUGGAGACACCUCCUUCUGCACCGGGGUCCUAACAGACCCUCUUCCUGCACCAGGGUCCUCUCUGUGUCCUUCGUGGAGUAGGCGCCAGCCUUGAGAGAGACGACUGAAGUCGUGGCACAGGCAUCAGGGGACAGGGAAUAGAGGAAUCCGAGAACUAAAGCUGGGUCCUACAGAGUGUGGUUUGGUGCCUUCACUAUUUAGAAAUGUAAAAAUGAAAACCCCAAGUGUGCUGCAUUUCUGAUCCGAGCCCCCCGCCCCGGGUGAGGAGGGCUGGGUUACAGUGGAGCGCUGUGAGUGGUUUUCCUCUACCGGAGCAGUGGAGGCCGAAGAAAAGCUCAAAAAAAAAAAAAAAAAACCGAGAGAACAGGAUUCUACUUGAGGUUUUCAGAAGGAGCUGGGGACAGAGGAGGUGGGGACAGAGGUGUGAUAGGAAAAAGAGAUGCAGGAUUUUGUGUAAAUGCUCUGGAGCGUUCGCACCUUGAAAGCACUCGAGAGCGGUGCUUUCCAAGAGAAAUACGGUACAAACCGUGUGUGAUUGCAAAUUUUCUAGCAGCCACGUUAAAAAGGUAAAAAGAAGCCGGUGGAAUUAUUUUUAAGUAACCCAAAAUAUUGUUUCAACAGCGAAUAUAAAAGCUAUUAGUGAGAUACUUUAUGCUUUUUGUUUGAUAUUAAGUCUUCAGAAUCCUGUGUGUGCUUGAUUCUGCAGGGCACUUUGGACUAGCGAGCCACUUUUCAGGUGCCCGACAGCCAUGUAUGACAAGUGGUUACUGUAUUGGACAGGGCAUACAGUUCUAGAAGGUAUCUUUUAGAUACCUUCCCCAUUUGGCCCGUAAAGCACCUGAGAUUAUCAUGUUAAUGGUCAUGUGUAUUCUUCUGGACUGUCUAAAAAGUUAGCGUCUUUAGCUAGUAUCUUGUCAAAGCACUAAAUAUCCUGAUAGGUACAGGUGCUGGUAUUCAGAUGGCAGUUGUAUGAAUAAAGAAAAAUUUUUUUGCAGCUAUUUGCAAAAAAUGUGUUACUGAAGAGCCUCGGUUUGGAGGAAUGAGUGCUAGUUCAUGCAGGCAACCUAACACAGUGUUUAGGUAAGAAUGCGGAGUCUAGAAGCAGCCUGCUUAAAGCCCAGCUCUACCAUUGCUAACUGGGAACACAGCAGGUUACUAACAACCAAUGUGGCCUGUUUCCACAGAGCUGAGAGGAGCAACCGAAGUUGCCCGUGUAAAGCACUCUACAAGACAAGUGCUUACCAGUACUUUUCAAAUGCCAAAGAUUCUGUUUACCAGAAGUGAUAAAAGCUGUUGAGAGAGAAAAUCCUCCAAGAGGGUGGAUCUUUUUUCCCUCCAUUAUGCUAGAUAGUGAGGGGGAUUUUCUAAGCAGAAGACUAGCACCACAUGCACUAAAUGGGGCUCUGGUCUGAGAUUUGCCGGUGGAGGAAAAGCUGGGAAGAGACCUGGGGCACCUCCUGUUGAAGGGGAGGGAGGGAGGGAUGUAGAUUCCAGGAGCUCCCUUGUCCCCUGAACACACGUUGUCCAAGGUGGUGUUAAAACAACUGACUACCCAGUAAUAACUUUUGUGAUUUUUGUUUGGCAAGACAAAUGAUUGUGGUAUUUGAGGUUGCCUUUUUCCAGUGGAGUGAUUUUGUUUUAAGGGACAAAUAUUGUACCCUUUGAGCAAAUAAUAAUAACAGGUACCAGAACCCUCACGGCCAAUCUGUAAAAUGGGUAUUAAUCUCAUGCCUGCUUUUAUAAAUCAAGAAAGGUAGGCUCACGUUUAAGUAGCACCAGGAUUUUGCAAGGGCGCACGCCAUGAGUCUGGAGGGGGAGGUGUUGGGGCAUUAAAAAUGUAUUGGGCCUAGAAUUAGGUCUCACGAUUUUAAGUAGCAGGCACUGCCAGGAGAGAGUGGAAGUGGCCAGAACAUCUGGGUUCAAGAUUUCUCCUUGGAGGUGAAGAAUAAAACCUCCCCCGGAAGGAUAAAUGUAACCAGUAGAGGGGACUGAGCAUGUUUGUCAGGGUUUCAUGAGAGUCCGUCCUCCCUCCGGGACUGAGGCUGAAUAAUUCGAGGGCACGGACUGGGUCCUUCUCUGACCUGGGUUUCUUUUUCCACCCCGUAGGGAAGGGGAAUUACUGGACCCUCGAUCCAAACUGUGAGAAAAUGUUUGACAACGGGAACUUCCGUCGGAAGCGGAAGCGCCGCUCCGAAGCCAGCAGCUCCUCCGCGGCGGCCCCAGGGACCACAAAAUCGGAAGACGGGCUCUCCUCAGGAUUGGGGUCGGGAGUGGCCGCGAAGCCGGAAGGGGACAGCCCGACGGCUUUGCUAAGGCCGUCCCAGUCCCCAGAGCCUCCCGAGGGCACCAAGAGUACCGCCUCGUCCCCGGGAGGCUCCCUGCUCACCUCCACCCCCUGCCUCAACACCUUCUUCAGCAGCCUCAGCACCUUGAGUGUCAGCGGCAGUGGGGGCACCCAGCGGGCCCUCCCUGGCGGCCGCCACCUGGGGAUCCAGGGGGGCCAGCUGCCCUCCAGCAGCCCCUUCCCCCCAAGCUCGGUCUCGGAAGCGGCGCCGGACACCUUGCCGCUGAGCUCCGGCGCCAGCAGCAGCAGCCAGAGGCCUUCCUACUGCAGCCCUUUCCCUGCCGGCUCCAGCGGGGGGCAAAGCAGCCCCUUCAGCAGCCCUUUCUACAACUUCAGCAUGGUCAACAGCCUCAUCUACCCCCGCGAGGGCUCCGAGGUAUAG
rnacentral:lncRNA from 1 species